GAUGAACGCUGGCGGCGUGCCUAAUACAUGCAAGUCGAGCGAAGCGGGGACGGGUGAGUAACACGUGGAUAACCUCCUAUAUGACUGGGAUAACUUAGGGAAACCGGAGCUAAACCGGAAACUUAUCGAUGGAUCCUCGCUGCAUUAGCUAGUUGGUAAGGUAACGGCCUACCAGGGCAACGAUGCCUAGCCGACCUGAGAGGGUGAUCGGUCACACUGGAACUGAGACACGGUCCAGACUCCUACGGGAGGCAGCAGUAGGGAAUCUUCCGCAAUGGGCGAAAUCCUGACGCAGCAACGCCGCGUGAGUGAAGAAGGUCUUCGGAUCGUAAAACUCUGUUAUUAGGGAAGCGUUACCUAAUCAGAAAGCCCCGGCUAACUCCGUGCCAGCAGCCGCGGUAAUUC
rnacentral:rRNA from 1 species